AAACAACAGGCACAGACAGGUCCACAAAUAGGAGGCUCACUGAUACUUAACUGGCUGUAUCACCAACAUUUGUUUAUAAGGUAGUUUGGUAGUUGCCAUGUUAAGAUACCUUUUUUUUUUUUUUUUU